GAAUAGAUGAAUUUUUGUUAAAGUUAACAUACCACUAUCGUCGCUGGUAUCUUUCGGUAGUGUUGGUUGUGUUAAGUACUCAUUGCUGCCUGACAUAUCUUUAGUAUUUCCUACAAUAAUCAGUUGCCGUGGGACGUAUUCUCGUGGCCAACAGACCGAGCACGUUUCCUCAGACACAGAUCCCUCGUUGAGUCACUGGACCGCGAUCGACCAGACGAUGAAUUCUUCAGAAUCGAACGCACUGCGUCACACUCUGUAGCCGACUGUGAACUCCAGGCAGAUAGACCGUCGGGAAAUCCUGUUUUUCUUGGCAGAGUUGAGCCAUCUAAAAAUAAAAUAGACAACAGUAGUAAGCCAAAAAAAUAAUAUAUUUAAGGAUUACUCUAUUUAUCUACCAGCAACACAAUGCCGGAUUUUAAUAUAAAAAAUAUUUUACCGAUCGGAGAUACUAUUGACGCAGCGCGCAAUCUUGACGCCUUGGUCUCACGAAUGCUGGCAGUCUUCUUUCCUACUGUAAAAAUAAUCGUCAAUAUUAAUUAAACAAUUUAAUUAAUUAUCUACAUACUUUCACAAUGGUCUACUGUUGAAAUAAUAAUUAUUGGAGUAAAAUAAUUUAAACAAUGAAUACAUUAAGGUAAAAUGGUAAUAUAAAUGAGUGGAAUUAAAAUUGUUCCUGGUAUGAAUCAUAGAAAAAUACCGAAGCA